rnacentral:rRNA from 1 species
GUGAAGAGAUAUGUUCAGCUGAUUCUCCGCUGACUAGAAAAACCUCUAGCGAACAAAAAAGUGAUCGUACCGCAAACCGACACAGGUGGGCGAGUUGAGAAUACUAAGGCGUUGAGAUAGCUCUCAUUCAGGAACUCGGCAAAAUAGCCUCGUAACUUCGGGAGAAGAGGUGCCAAUGUCGUCAUCUUAUGAGAGUAAGAGAAGCGAUUGUUGGUUGCAAUAAAGAGGUCCAAGCGACUGUUUAACAAAAACACAGGGCCAUACAAACUCGCAAGAGGAAGUAUAUGGUCUGACGCCUGCCCAGUGCUGGAAGGUUAACAGGAGAUGUUAGUUCUUCGGAGCGAAGCAUUGAAUCGAAGCCCCAGUAAACGGCGGCCGUAACUAUAACGGUCCUAAGGUAGCGAAAUCCCUUGUCGGGUAAGUUCCGACCUGCAUGAAUGGCGUAACGACUUGGACGCUGUCUUGAUGAGAGACUCAGUGAAUUUGUAGUCCCAGUGAAAAUGCUGGGUACCCGCGAUAGGACGGAAAGACCCCGUGCACCUUUACUAUAACUUGACAUUGAUUUUUGGAUUGGCAUGUGUAGGAUAGGCGGGAGACGGUGAAGUCAUGGCGCUAGCUGUGACAGAGUCAAUGGAGAAAUACCGCUCUUGUUCGUUUGAAAAUCUAACUUUUUUCCGUAAUCCGGAAGAAGGACGUUGUCUGGUGGGUAGUUUGACUGGGGUGGUCGCCUCCCAAAAUGUAACGGAGGCGUUCAAAGGUUCCCUCAAGGCGAAUAGAAAUCGUCUUUAGAGCGCAAAAGCAUAAGGGAGCUUGACUGCGAGACAUACAGGUCGAGCAGGUGCGAAAGCAGGAUUUAGUGAUCCAGUGGUUCCGCAUGGAAGGGCCAUUGCUAAACGGAUAAAAGGUACGCCGGGGAUAACAGGCUUAUCUCCUCUAAGAGUCCAUAUCGACGAGGAGGUUUGGCACCUCGAUGUCGGCUCAUCGCAUCCUGGGGCUGGAGAAGGUCCCAAGGGCUUGGCUGUUCGCCAAUUAAAGCGGUACGUGAGCUGGGUUCAGACCGUCGUAAGACAGGUCGGUCCUUAUCCAUCGUGGGCGUAGGAUAUUUGAGAGAAGCUGUCCCUAGUACGAGAGGACCGGGAUGGACAAACCUCUGGUGUUCCGGUUGUUUACCAAAAGCAAAGCCGGGUAGCUAGGUUUGGAUGAGAUAACCGCUGAAAGCAUCUAAGUGGGAAACUCACCUCAAGAUAAGAUAUCCCGUUUAUGCAACUUCGGUUGCAUAACAUUAAGACCCCUUGAAGACUACGAGGUUGAUA